AGAGUUUGAUCAUGGCUCAGGAUGAACGCUAGCUACAGGCUUAACACAUGCAAGUCGAGGGGAAACGAUAUUGGAAGCUUGCUUCCGAUAGGCGUCGACCGGCGCACGGGUGAGUAACGCGUAUCCAACCUGCCCACCACUUGGGGAUAACCUUGCGAAAGUAAGACUAAUACCCAAUGAUAUCUCUAGAAGACAUCUGAAAGAGAUUAAAGAUUUAUCGGUGAUGGAUGGGGAUGCGUCUGAUUAGCUUGUUGGCGGGGUAACGGCCCACCAAGGCAACGAUCAGUAGGGGUUCUGAGAGGAAGGUCCCCCACAUUGGAACUGAGACACGGUCCAAACUCCUACGGGAGGCAGCAGUGAGGAAUAUUGGUCAAUGGACGAGAGUCUGAACCAGCCAAGUAGCGUGCAGGAAGACGGCCCUAUGGGUUGUAAACUGCUUUUAUAAGGGAAUAAAGUGAGAGUCGUGACUCUUUUUGCAUGUACCUUAUGAAUAAGGACCGGCUAAUUCCGUGCCAGCAGCCGCGGUAAUACGGAAGGUCCGGGCGUUAUCCGGAUUUAUUGGGUUUAAAGGGAGCGUAGGCCGGAGAUUAAGCGUGUUGUGAAAUGUAGACGCUCAACGUCUGCACUGCAGCGCGAACUGGUUUCCUUGAGUACGCACAAAGUGGGCGGAAUUCGUAGUGUAGCGGUGAAAUGCUUAGAUAUCACGAAGAACUCCGAUUGCGAAGGCAGCUCACUGGAGCGCAACUGACGCUGAAGCUCGAAAGUGCGGGUAUCGAACAGGAUUAGAUACCCUGGUAGUCCGCACGGUAAACGAUGGAUGCCCGCUGUUGGUCUGAAUAGGUCAGCGGCCAAGCGAAAGCAUUAAGCAUCCCACCUGGGGAGUACGCCGGCAACGGUGAAACUCAAAGGAAUUGACGGGGGCCCGCACAAGCGGAGGAACAUGUGGUUUAAUUCGAUGAUACGCGAGGAACCUUACCCGGGCUUGAAUUGCAGAGGAAGGAUUUGGAGACAAUGACGCCCUUCGGGGUCUCUGUGAAGGUGCUGCAUGGUUGUCGUCAGCUCGUGCCGUGAGGUGUCGGCUUAAGUGCCAUAACGAGCGCAACCCCUCUCCUUAGUUGCCAUCAGGUUAAGCUGGGCACUCUGGGGACACUGCCACCGUAAGGUGUGAGGAAGGUGGGGAUGACGUCAAAUCAGCACGGCCC
rnacentral:rRNA from 1 species